CUGCAUCAGAUUAUUCGUUGUAUGAUGUCGAUCGCAUAUAUGUGACUAUUAGGAGUCAAAGUUAUAGCGCCACCAACUGGCAGAAGGAAGUGUGUCAUUUUCAAAAUGAUUUGAAUUCAGCAUCUUAUUAUUACUCGAUUUGCUUCAAACUUCAUCAGAAUAAUGUUAAAACACAGCCGAUAUAAAUCUGCAAGGGGGAUAUUGAUAUCUAAAAAAUUGUUGGCGUGGCAACAUGUCAAACUGGAAUACUUCUCAGGUGAUUUUGAGGCAUAUAACAUGCUUAGAAUUUCAUCAAACUCAGAACACAUAUCAGUAUUUAUGAUAACUAGACACUGGCAAAAGUUCAUAAGAGGGCGUGGAAGAGGCACUCUAUAGCGCCACCUUUUGUCAAAAGUGGCGGGGUUAGUUUUAGCUACAGACACCAAACUCGGUACAAAAAUUUUUCUUAUCAAGACGGACAACUUUCUAAUUCACAGUCAUCAGCUACGAUCAACAGGAAGUCAGCUAUUUUGAUUUGAAUGUGGAUUUUUUUUUUACAUUUAGCUGUGAAUUAAUGCAUACUGCUCAGAGGAGAGUAACACUAUACACACCAAACUUUGUCUACAUGAUGCCAAAACAUUUUAAACAACUUAAAUUGCCAAUGGAUUUUGGAUAGCUUAAACGGUUUUGUCGUGGUGAUUUUUUUAAAUGACAGUAAAAAUGGAAUUAUUAAUUUUCCUGCAUUUUUAAAUUCCAAACACUUCAAAACCUUUUUUCGUACAGAAAAAAAGUCAUUCUGAGUAAAUAUGGAUAGUUUCACGACUUUACAACACUGUAUGGAUAACAGAAAAUUAAAAAACUGUCAGACAUCUCAUCUCACUCUGUCCCUCUGUUUGAGUAUAUGUGCUUCAGACUUCCAUUGUCUGAGAGAAAUAGCGCCCCUACAGGUUCAAUUCCCGAACUUUUACUUUCACUUUUAAAUCGGUUAAAAAUACAAAUAAAUACUUAGAUUUAAUUCACACUGACAAGCUAAACCAACAUAUCUGAUUAUUACCGGUUCAGGGCUCAUGGAUAAAUUAUUUCUGGCCAGAGAUACGUGAGAAAUAGGAGAGAUGAAUCACCGCUGUGACCACGAGCGUCUGGAGUAAAGAGCUCAGAAAAAACGAAUUUAUUCCUGUUUUAAAGCUUUUAAAAAUAAAUUAUUACAGCGAUAUCACACAAUCAACCAAUUAGAACACACCAAGAGCUAAAUUCAGAUGUUUUUGAACUGUUUGUGUGAAAAUGAAAUAUUUGUGGCUGCCUAUCUGAAAUCACGCCUCCGAUCAGCGCGUACAGUGUCGAGCUCAAAACAAACGAAUUUAUUCUUGUUUAAGAGCUUUUUUAAAUAAAAUAUUACCACAAAUGCACACAAUAAACCCAUUGUAACACUACAAGAGCUAAAUGCAGGUGUUUGUGACCUGUUUAAGUGUGCAAGACUAUUUGAAAGCGCGACUGGCAGAAUAACAUAUCUCUCGAGCUGCAGGUUUCUGUCUUUCGUCGUACGAACGAACACAUAACGGACAAGAUUAUUUCAAAAUACAUAAUAGCUUGGCGAAUAUAAACGAAAACAGCCACGUGAACAUAAACUGGAUCUACUGGAUUUGAAUAUUAAAGUGACCACAUUUACCACUUGUUUCUGUCUUCAAUUUUAAUCUAUAUAAAAAAGGAAACUCAUUCGACUUGGCUGCUUUUUUAAUGUGUGCGUAUUUAUUUAUUUACCUUUUUAUACAUUUUGUAUAAUUUCAUAGUUUGUGUAUUACAAUUAUGAAA